rnacentral:rRNA from 1 species
CCUACGGGAGGCAGCAGUGAGGAAUAUUGGUCAAUGGGCGCAAGCCUGAACCAGCCAAGUAGCGUGCGGGAUGACGGCCCUACGGGUUGUAAACCGCUUUUGCCCGGGGAUAAGCUUCUUCUCGUGUGGCGGUUUGCAGGUACCGCGCGAAUAAGGCCCGGCUAAUUCCGUGCCAGCAGCCGCGGUAAUACGGAAGGUCCGAGGGUUAUCCGGAUUUAUUGGGCUUAAAGGGAGCGUAGGCGGGCGGUCAAGUCAGCGGUAAAAUAGCGGGGCUCAACCGCGCCCCGCAGUUGAAACUGGAGGGCUUGAGUGCGCGAGAGGUAGGCGGAAUUCGUGGUGUAGCGGUGAAAUGCAUAGAUAUCACGAAGAACCCCGAUUGCGAAGGCAGCCUACCGGCGUGCUACUGACGCUGAGGCUCGAAGGUGCGGGUAUCGAACAGGAUUAGAUACCCUAGUAGUC